UUAAAAGUCAUGUAUCCAGUCCUGGGUACAUAUAGCAGGGACUUAGCUGUGUUCUGUGUGACCCCAAGGGGUACAGUGGGACCAAUCAGUGGGAGAUAGAAAGAAACAGAUUUUAGCUCAAUAUUAGGUGGGGUCUUUAAAAACUCAUGGCUGCCCAGGUUGGAGUAGGCUGCACACAGAGGCAGAGCUUCCAACGGCAAGGGUCCUCACAGCAGAGGAGCGUCAGCUGCUUGACAAGAACAUCAGAGGGAAAUUUCAAGCUGUGGCCUCUCUGGCCUCCAAAAUCCCUUCCAACUAGGGAUUAUCUAAUCCUUCGAUUAGUGAAUCUCCUUCAAGUUGUCUACUUCACCAACUUAAGAAGGAAAUGAACUCCCCGGUGCUGAGACCAGAUCAGUGCAAAUGUGGCCGAGGGACUUGGGUUUUCCUUUUACUGCUGAAUCUGGUUUUCUUGAGUUUCAGCCUCUCCCUGGUGUGACGUGGUCUUGGCUUGGAGCACACAGCACUUCCGAGUCCCCUCCUGCGAACUGGAGGGAGCAGAGCAGACCUUAUUUGCAAUGUUCUAACCUAUCUGGGGGUUGCUUGAAGGACGGGUCUCUUUUGCCUAAGUUGAAUCUGAGGCAGAGAGAAGUCAUGAGUGCUACUCGGGAAAGUCACAGGUAAACUACAGAAUUGCAGAUGUCUGGAGCAAGACAUUACAGGUGGAGACACUCAAUACACCAUUUAAGGCCCCAAGUAGAAACUCAGGUGAGACUUUUGGGGCAUUUAAGACAUUUAUAAGCAGCUGUGUAUAUGGGGAAAUUGAAAAGCCACACACAGGCCCAGACAAGACACAUGCUCAGAAAAGAGCAGAGAAGACCUUAAGCUUUCUCCUUAGGCUGAUACAGAGGCUCAGAGCAUGCCUGGCUAAUUACUAGAGGACUUCCCCAGCACAGAGCCUGUCUGCAAAAACUGGAAGAAGUGGUUGUUUUUUCAAAUCCUCGGUUUUCAACAAAAGAAAAUCAGAAGCAUACAAAGAAACAGUAAAACAUGGCUCAUUCAAGAGAGGACAAUAAAAUAGCGUAACAAUCCCUGAAGAAACACAAGCAUUGGAUACAAGACAAAGACUUUAAAACAAUUGUCUUCUUCUUUUUCUUUUGCUAGGUUAACCAGUGAGAAAAUUACUGGUUCCAUGAGUUACUGAUUAACUCCCAGAGAGAUAUGUAAAUAAGAUGUGCGUCUAUGAGGAAUUUCUUUGAUCCUUAAAGUAUUGCAAGCAAGAUUCUUUUUGGACAAUGCUCCAUAAAGAAAAUUAGUUAUUAGCUUAUUCAUUUUUUUCACUCAUUUACUCACUCCUGACAGGUUCUGAGUUGGGCGUCUAGGUUACAAUGGAGAACCAAGUAGAUAGAAUUUAUGCCCUCAGGCCCUUGGGAGUACUGUUCAUUUUCUUCUUCUUGGCAGAAAAGUUUGAAAAGCAUUGUCACCUGAUACAUGACUUCCUUCUAAAACAAGCAUGCUGGCUUCAACUUCUUCCUUAAAGGAAAUAAAUGACUGGAGGAGAAAAAAUCAGAUGCAAUACUUCAUCCUUAUUUGGAAUAAUUAAAGUGGAAGAAAGUUUCUAUUGGUGCAAAGUCUGAUUUAUAGUACAACUUUUAGAGAACUGUAAUUUCUUUCACGUAUAUAUAAUGGAUUAACUGCUAAAAGAAUAUGGGUAGGUAGAUGUCCU
ensembl:lncRNA